rnacentral:rRNA from 1 species
GAUGAACGCUGGCGGCGUGCCUAAUACAUGCAAGUCGAGCGAACAGACGAGGAGCUUGCUCCUCUGACGUUAGCGGCGGACGGGUGAGUAACACGUGGAUAACCUACCUAUAAGACUGGGAUAACUUCGGGAAACCGGAGCUAAUACCGGAUAAUAUAUUGAACCGCAUGGUUCAAUAGUGAAAGACGGUUUUGCUGUCCCUUUUAGAUGGAUCCGCGCCGCAUUAGCUAGUUGGUAAGGUAACGGCUUACCAAGGCAACGAUGCGUAGCCGACCUGAGAGGGUGAUCGGCCACACUGGAACUGAGACACGGUACAGACUCCUACGGGAGGCAGCAGUAGGGAAUCUUCCGCAAUGGGCGAAAGCCUGACGGAGCAACGCCGCGUGAGUGAUGAAGGUCUUCGGAUCGUAAAACUCUGUUAUUAGGGAAGAACAAAUGUGUAAGUAACUAUGCACGUCUUGACGGUACCUAAUCAGAAAGCCACGGCUAACUACGUG